rnacentral:rRNA from 1 species
GAUGAACGCUGGCGGCGUGCUUAACACAUGCAAGUCGAACGGAAAGGCCCAAGCUUGCUUGGGUCCUCGAGUGGCGAACGGGUGAGUAACACGUGGGUGAUCUGCCCUGCACUUCGGGAUAAGCCUGGGAAACUGGGUCUAAUACCGGAUAGGACGUUGGUUUGGAUGCCAUUGUGGAAAGUUUUUUCGGUGUGGGAUGAGCUCGCGGCCUAUAAGCUUGUUGGUGGGGUAAUGGCCUACAAAGGCGUCGACGGGUAGCCGGCCUGAGAGGGUGUACGGCCACAUUGGGAAUGAGAGACGGCCCAGAGUCCUACGGGAGGCAGCAGUGGGGAAUAUGGAACAAUGGGAGCAGGCCUGAUGCAGCGACGCCGCGUGGGGGAUGACGGCCUUCGGGUUGUAAACUCCUCUCGCUAGGGACGAAGCUUUUUUGUGACGGUACCUGGAGAAGAAGCACCGGCUAACUACGUG